rnacentral:rRNA from 1 species
UACGUAGGUGGCGAGCGUUGUCCGGAUUUACUGGGCGUAAAGAGCGCGCAGGCGGUCGUGUAAGUCGAAUGUGAAAGCCCCCGGCUCAACUGGGGAGGGUCAUUCGAUACUGCUCGACUCGAAGGCAGGAGAGGGAAGCGGAAUUCCUGGUGUAGCGGUGAAAUGCGCAGAUAUCAGGAAGAACACCCGUGGCGAAGGCGGCUCUCUGGGACGGUACUGACGCUGAGACGCGAAAGCGUGGGGAGCGAACAGG